UAGAUACGGCCGUCCCAAAAUUCUUGUCUUAGAUUUGUCUAGAUACAAAUGUAUCUAAUACUAAAACGUAACUAGAUACAUCCGUAUUUAGACAAAUCUAAGACAAGAGUUUUGGGACAGAGGUAGUAUGUU
rfam:Triticum aestivum genome assembly, contig: Triticum_aestivum_CS42_TGACv1_scaffold_220832_3B